GAUGAACGCUAGCGGCAGGCUUAAUACAUGCAAGUCGAGGGGUAGCAAGAUUGUAGCAAUACAAUUGUUGACGACCGGCAAUCGGGUGCGGAACACGUACACAACCUUCCUACAAGUGGGGAAUAGCCCAGAGAAAUUUGGAUUAAUACCCCGUAACAUAGCGAUGUGGCAUCACAUUGCUAUUAUAGCUUCGGCGCUUGUUGAUGGGUGUGCGGCUGAUUAGAUAGUUGGCGGGGUAACGGCCCACCAAGUCUACGAUCAGUAGCUGAUGUGAGAGCAUGAUCAGCCAAACGGGCACUGAGACACGGGCCCGACUCCUACGGGAGGCAGCAGUAAGGAAUAUUGGACAAUGGACGCAAGUCUGAUCCAGCCAUGCCGCGUGAAGGAUUAAGGUCCUCUGGAUUGUAAACUUCUUUUAUAAGGGACGAAAAAAGGUCUUUCUAGAUCGUCUGACGGUACCUUAUGAAUAAGCACCGGCUAACUCCGUGCCAGCCGCCGCGGUAAAAC
rnacentral:rRNA from 1 species